GGCAGCGGGCCGGGCGGGCGGUGCGAGGUGGCUGCUGCCGCUCCGGGCUCCAGGCCCAGGCCCGGGCCCCGCCGCUCCCGGGGCCAUGGAGUUCCCGCCCGCUCUCUUCCCGUCCCCGUUCGGCUCCGGCCCGCCCCGGCAGGAGGGUGUCCCCGCCGCGGCCGCGGGCUGGGGGGAGCGCGGGCAGGUGCUGGAGGCCGGUCCCGGCGCGGCGCUCGCCUCCCGCCGCCUGUCCCCGCAGGCCGAGCCGGCGUUCGUGCCCCGCCGCGGCGGGACGGGCGAGAGCUGGGACCCCGCCUGCGCCGCCGCCGUGCCCUGCCUGCCUCCUAACGCGAGUGAGCGCCGCGGGAGGGCGGCGCUGCCCGUCCCACCCGCACCGCUGCGGCUCGGGAUCCACCGGCGGCUUUAGCGGCUCCCCCCUCCCCCCACGGUGUGUUGGCGCAGGGGGAGCCGCCGCCUGCUGGUGCCAUAGCGGCCCCUUCGCUCUCCCCGCAGGCUGCUGGGUCCCCUCGCUCGCCCCUCAGGACAUCCUGUACCGCGGCAUGCUGCGCAGGAAGCUCCGGGAAGGCAGGUCCGGAGCCACCCUGGACUUCAGCAAGCAGCUGGGCCAUUUCUUUGUGGAUCACCCAGAAGAUGCGUUUGGCUCCCUGGGGCAGCUGCUGCACAAGAACUUCCACUUGGGCAACUCCAUCCUGAGGAGGCCGGCCCGGGAAAGCACCAUCCGGAUGACAGCUUUGAUGGAGGAUAUCGAGCGUCUGGAGGCCAGGCGUGGCUGCCCCCGGCGGCAGCAGCUCGUGCCCCGCCUGCGCUGGUUCUCCCACCUCUGCCGGGACUGGCUGUUCGAGGUGCCGCUGGGGCUGCUGGCAGACUGCG
rnacentral:lncRNA from 1 species